rnacentral:rRNA from 1 species
CCUACGGGAGGCAGCAGUGAGGAAUAUUGGUCAAUGGACGCAAGUCUGAACCAGCCAUGCCGCGUGCAGGAAGACGGCCCUAUGAGUUGUAAACUGCUUUUGUACGGGGGUAAAUCCCGAUACGUGUAUCCGUUUGAAAGUACCUUACGAAUAAGGAUCGGCUAACUCCGUGCCAGCAGCCGCGGUAAUACGGAGGAUUCAAGCUUUAUCCGGAUUUAUUGGGUUUAAAGGGUGCGUAGGCGGUUGGAUCAGUUAGAGGUGAAAUCCCGGGGCUCAACUCCGGCAAUGCCUCUGAUACUGGCGAGCUAGAGUUUGGUAGAGGUAUGCGGAAUGUGUGGUGUAGCGGUGAAAUGCAUAGAGAUGAGGCAGAACACCGAUUGCGAAGGCAGCUUACCAGACUACGACUGACGUUGAGGCACGAAAGCGUGGGGAGCAAACAGGAUUAGAUACCCGAGUAGUC